AUUUUAAUACUUAUUAAUAUUUUAUUAAUAUUUUUAUUUAAAAGAAAAAAUUUUUUUUGAAUUAAUUUAAUGAAACAUUUAAUUUUAUUAUAGAUUAAUGGUACUGUGAGGGAUGGUUGAAAUAUUUUGACAAAAAUAAAUAUAUAAAAGAAAAAUUAAUUUUUUGUACCUUUUGCAUCAGGGUUAAUUAAAAUUAAUAAAAUAAUUUUGUUUUCUCGAAUAAAGAAGAGCUAAAAUUGUAUACAUUUUAUUGUUGAAUAAAUACUUAAAAUUCAAUUUUUGGAGCGAAACGUUAUUCGUUUCUUUAUAUAUCUAGUUUUUAGAGAAAUGAAUUUAAUUUUGCUGGUGAGUUAAAUAUAAUUAAUUUUUUAAUUUUAUUUAUUCGUUAUGUUAUAAAUUUAGGGAUAAGCUUAGAUUUAAAUGUUUAUAAAUUAAUACAAAUAAAUAAUCUGUAGAAUUAAAAUUUUUUUUCAUUAAAAAAAUGUUAUAAUUAAUUAUUAAUUUUUGAUAUUUUUAUUUUUUUUAAAUUUUUUAUCUAAAAAUUUGCUUUAUUAAUUUUUGUUAAGAUAUAAUGAUUAAAUUAGUAUAAUAAUUUUUAUUUUUAUAUAAGUUUGCAAGGUUAAAUUAAGGAAUUCGGCAAAUUUAUUUUUUACCUGUUUAAUAAAAACAUGUCUUUUUGAAUAUAAUUGAAAGUCUGGCCUGCUCAAUGAAUAUUAAAUAGCUGCGGUAUUUUGACCGUACAAAGGUAGCAUAAUCAAUAGUUUUUUAAUUGAAAACUGGAAUGAAGGGUUUGAUAAAAAAAUAACUGUCUCAGUUUAAUUUAUUUGUAAUUUUAUUUUUAAGUUCAAAAGCUUAAAUUAAUUUAAAAGACGAGAAGACCCUGUAGAGUUUAAUUUUUUCAUAAUUUUAUUUUUUUAGAAUUAAUAAGAUAUUUUUUUGCAAAAAUUGGAUUGGGGUGAUUGAAAAAUUUGAUAAACUUUUUUUUAUUGUUUCAAUAAUUAUUGUUUAAUUGAUCCAUAAAAAUGAUUAAAAGACUAAAUUACCUUAGGGAUAACAGCGUAAUUUUUUUUGAGAGUUCUAAUCGAAAAAAGAGAUUGCGACCUCGAUGUUGGAUUAAAAUUAAUAUUUGGUGAAGAAGCUAAAUUAUUAGGUCUGUUCGACCUUUAAAAUUUUACAUGAUCUGAGUUUAAACCGGUGUAAGCCAGGUUGGUUUCUAUCUUUAAAUUAUUAAAAUGCUUUAGUACGAAAGGACCAGGUAUUUAAUUUAAAAUUUUAUAUUUUGAAUAUUAAU
rnacentral:rRNA from 1 species